GAGAGCUAAUAUCGACCGUGGAUGAGAAGUGAGAAAACAAUCGGAGGGUUCCAAACAAUUGCUUAUAUAUAGAAAGAGAAAAUAAAAAACAUUGAAAAUGGCGCAUUAAAUCAAUCAAGAACAUUCCACCUGUUAGAUAGCAAAUAGAAUCGAAAGUACGAGAAUUCUGUCGCAAUUUGUUCUUUAAAAAGGUUAGGCUUUCGAAAUCGGAUUUGAAAGGGAUCAAAGAAAUGGCAGGGGAAGGUUCCAUGUUCAAGUUUCUCAAGCCUAGGCUCCGUCCACAGCCUAUUGACAUCCAGGCCGCCGCCGCGUGGGGCGUCGCUGCCACCACCACCGCUCUCUGGCUCAUACAGCCAUUUGAUUGGUUGAAGAAGACCUUUUUGGAGAAACCAGAGCCGGAAGAGAGGUGAAUGUCUCUUUAAAUUCUUAGAACGCUUCGAGAUUUUGUUUAUAUUGUCUACGAGAGAAUGAUGAAAAGAGUGAAACUUGAAUGAUGAUAAUAAUGUAGUAUAACUUUGUGGUUUAUUGAUAUGAGAAUAUGGUCUCUUUUGGCAUCA